CCUUCAGGACUGUUUACAUCUUUCAGAUUAAGGGCAGGAAGAAAUCUAUAUAUCUAUGAUAUAUCUGCUUUAUAUGUCAGAAUGCCUAGUGCCCAAUGACAAACCACUAUUCUGCAGCCAUCAGUGUGGGCCCUUGGUAGAAUGCAAAGCAGAAUGACGACUUGAAAUCAGGAAACAAGAGGCAUCUGCAAAGACCUGCUGUAUAAGGAACUGUCAAAAUAAGAUGACGAGGAACAGGAAAGCCAAGCAGUCUGAAGUUCUCAGGGAAGCCUGAAUCUGAACAGACGAUAACUUCACGGUUGAAAUCCGAGCGCAGAGUGAGGGGGUAUUUGGGUAUUUCCAAGACCUCAUUCCUUUCUGUAUCAAUAUGAGCUCAUUCUUUAAUGCUGCUGGUAUACUGAACACCAAAUAAAAACAGCCACAUGCUUUAAAGCUCCUUCCCUGAUAUGAUAAUUAUUAUUUUAUUUGAAACAAGAAUAACCAUGCCCUUUUAAAUGAUGUUCCAAUGAUCUUUUUUUUUUUCUUUUUAUGUAUUCAAAUAACUUAUGAGCUA